rnacentral:rRNA from 1 species
UACGUAGGGUGCGAGCGUUAAUCGGAAUUACUGGGCGUAAAGCGUGCGCAGGCGGUUAUGUAAGACAGAUGUGAAAUGCCCGGGCUUAACCUGGGAACUGCAUUUGUGACUGCAUGGCUAGAGUUUGGCAGAGGGGGGUAGAAUUCCACGUGUAGCAGUGAAAUGCGUAGAUAUGUGGAGGAACACCGAUGGCGAAGGCAGCCCCCUGGGUCAAGACUGACGCUCAUGCACGAAAGGCGUGGGGAGCAAACAGG